GGGCCGUAGCUCAGCAGGUAGAGCACCUGCCUUUCAGGCAGAAGGCCCCAAGUUCAGUCCCUGGCAUCCUCA